rnacentral:rRNA from 1 species
UACGGGGGGGGCAAGCGUUGUUCGGAAUUACUGGGCGUAAAGGGCGCGUAGGCGGCCUUCUAAGUCGGACGUGAAAUCCCUCGGCUCAACCGAGGAACUGCGCUUGAAACUACCAGACUCGAGGGAGAUAGAGGAAAGCGGAACUGAUGGUGGAGCGGUGAAAUGCGUUGAUAUCAUCAGGAACACCGGUGGCGAAGGCGGCUUUCUGGGUCUUACCUGACGCUGAGGAACGAAAGCCAGGGGGGCGAACGGG